GCCCCUGUGGCGAAAUCGGUAUACGCAGCUGACUUAAAAUCAGCCGCUUCGGCUUGCGGGUUCGAGUCCCGCCGGGGGCACCG
rnacentral:tRNA from 1 species